GACAUAAUUUGCUGGAUGGGCAGUUCAUUUCCAAUAGCAGGUAUUGUAUUUGAUGCCUGCGGCUCUGCCUCUCUGAAAGUUCUUGAAGAAAACCAGAUUCAGGGUUGCUCCUGCUCAGGAAAGCAUCGGAUCCAGAUGCUUCAGUUGAACUGUCCACACUGUCAUGUUGAGGGCCACGACCAGAUCCAGCUCCACCACGGUAUGUGUCGUAAAGUUCAGUAAGGAGCCCAUUUACCAGAGAGGAGGUGCGGCUACGUCCUUCCUGGGGGCAUCCAGCACUGUCAACACUACCUCUGCCACUUGAGUCCUUACUUAGCAGAACUUCAUCUCCAUAGUCACUAGAGGGGCAAUUCCUCUGUGGCUAUCUCCAUAGCUCCUAUGGCCGGGAACUGUGAUGCCAUGUUUCCAGAUUUCUGGUCUGCAAAUUGUUACCGACAUGUCACCCAAGGAGGAAAAAACAAGGGGCAGCAGAGUAAGAGGCACAUACCAACCAUGCCAGGCCAGCUGCUACAUAUAUUCUCUUCUAAAAGAAGUUCCGGGAUUGUACUAACAGGAAAAACUGGAGGUGCAGCCAAAUCUCAUUCCGUGUGUUCCUAAAGUAAAUCUGCUUUACUUUCUGCCUCUCUCAGCCCUCUGACUUGAAAGUGGUUCAGACCUGUCUGAUGUUCUCCUCUGCGAUGCACCUGGCUCCAGUGUGGCUGGCUGCAGGGCGUCCACUAUAAGCAGUGUCCCAGGCUGCUAUCUGUGUUACGGUGUCAGGCUCAAACUGACAUAAAUGCUGCAAACUUCAGUGAAAGGGAGGAGCUAGGCUGUGAGGAAUCAGGAUAACUACCAAUGAAGAGGAACUGGGGAAAAAAAUCAGGCUUUAGGAACAACAGAACAGGAUGGGAAAUAAAUGUAUUGCAAGUCAUAAAAUACUCACAGCU